CCUGGUGCUGCUGAGCUGUGGCUAAGGGCUCCAGUACAGCACAUGCUGCUGCUGCCGCCUUCCCUAGCUCUGCUGGAAGCCAUCUUGCUGGCCUGUCAGGCCAGAUGUUUAGCAACCAGAUUUUCCAGGGUCAAGAAGCGUGGGGGAAGAGACAAGUGCUCUGCUGCCUGGCUGAGGUCACCUUUGCAGCCAUUUCCAUGGGCUCCUACCAGUCCAUUGAAGGCAAAGCAUUCCUUUACCCUGUCCUGAGCACACAUUGGACCCUGGCCCUAUAACCACAUUUUGGAGCAGGUCCAGAUUAGUUGUGUUCCUCAUCCGCACUGCAAGAGAGAGGUUUGGGAGCAGCUUUCUUUGGCACCAGGUGGAAACCGACCUGAUUUUCAGCACUGCCAUCAACUGCUAAGACCUUGCAUGAAGCUGAGCCCAGCUGGAAGUGGAGAUGAGGCCCAGAUGACGGAGCUGCAACUGUGUGUACCUGCGUGCCCCAGGCCUGAUGCUGUAGGAUGGAGGAGAAGGCAGGCCCGCUCUCCAUACAAUGGUAGACACAAAGCCAUCGCCUCUCGGUUUCGGUGGGCCAACUGGAUCAGUUGAAAGGCUGCCCUGAUUUGGUACUCGCAGAGGCAGGACCACACCGGCGGCCCAUUGUGUACGGCCCUGAUUCCCCGGCAGAUCUUCGUCACUGAAGUCAAGGACAUAAUGAGGGAUUUCAGUCCCAAGCAGAGACUAUCCAAGCAGGUGGGAAAGUGACGGGCCAGCGUCCAGCCUUCAGAGCACAGACCAAAGGGAAGCUGUUCUAAAUAGCAACAAUGGCCUUAAUCCCCCGGCAGGAUGGAGAGAUGCAGACUGGUAAAGGGAAGAAAAGGCAGAAAAUAGCAAGCACAGAAAGUGUGUAUAUGUGAGAAUCCCUUUCAGGAUGCAUUAAUGGGAUGCAGUGAAUAGGAAGAAGAGACCCCAGAGUGUGUUUUAAACAGAUUCCUGGUAUAAUAUGAACCACUGUAAAUGAAGUGCUGCACAAAAGAAGUAAUAAAAAUAUAUCACUGUAGUCAGUCUCGCUGGCCGUGUCAGUGUUUAACCACAUCAGAGCUCAUCGUUAACUAAGAGGCAGAAUAAGACGAGCAAACAAGAGGGCAGCUGGGAGGAAGAACAUAAGGACCACAUUGGGGCCGAGCGAGGUUCCUCCCAUGGCAGCCCCAAGAAAUAAGGGUCCAGGCAGGAGGGAAAGCCCACCUGCCGGGCAUGGCUUGGCAGAGACACCUCCGGAGAUGGUGUGAGGAUGUGCUCACCUCCUCUGUUGCCAGCUCUCCUGCAACAAUUCGUCUGCAGCAGCCGCCUGCCUCCGAGUGAGGAGUUUUAAUAAACGAUCGUCAUGUGCAAGCCAUGCAUGUAUGUGAGAGAGGAUGGGGACGUGUAUUUUUAAACGCAAAAACUCCCACCAGCCGCAGGCUGAACACAGGCUGCAUGAUCUUCAAGGGAAGGAGGAAAAAAGCGUGCUGGUUUUCUCUAGAAUUGGAUCAUUUGCUGCAAAUUGGGUGGUUGAUCCAAUAAGAGUUACGGAAAAUGUGGUCCGCAGUGGGGAGUAAGUUCAGGGUGGUAUGAAUUUUAGGAUGGGCUGUUAGAGGUCCCAUCCCAGGAGAGGUGCUUGGUGCUUUCUGGAGGUCAAGCCAGUGUCUCAGCAUCAAUAACCAG